rnacentral:rRNA from 1 species
GAUGAACGCUGGCGGCGUGCUUAACACAUGCAAGUCGAACGGGAAUUAUUUUAUUGAAACUUCGGUCGAUUUAAUUUAAUUCUAGUGGCGGACGGGUGAGUAACGCGUGGGUAACCUGCCUUAUACAGGGGGAUAACAGUCAGAAAUGGCUGCUAAUACCGCAUAAGCGCACAGAGCUGCAUGGCUCAGUGUGAAAAACUCCGGUGGUAUAAGAUGGACCCGCGUUGGAUUAGCUGGUUGGUGGGGUAACGGCCCACCAAGGCGACGAUCCAUAGCCGGCCUGAGAGGGUGAACGGCCACAUUGGGACUGAGACACGGCCCAGACUCCUACGGGAGGCAGCAGUGGGGAAUAUUGCACAAUGGGGGAAACCCUGAUGCAGCGACGCCGCGUGAAGGAAGAAGUAUCUCGGUAUGUAAACUUCUAUCAGCGGGGAAGAUAGUGACGGUACCUGACGAAGAAGCCCCGGCUAACUACGUG